ensembl:misc_RNA Metazoa_SRP Metazoan signal recognition particle RNA
GCCAGGCAUGGUGGCGUGUGCCUGUAGUCCCAGCUACUUGGGAGGCUGAGGCAGGAGAAUUGCUUGAACCCGGGAGGCAGAGGCUGCAGUGUGCCACUGCACUCCAGCCUGGGCAACAGAGCGAGACUCUGUCUCAA